CCUACGUGGGGCAGCAGUGGGGAAUAUUGCACAAUGGGGGAAACCCUGAUGCAGCGACGCCGCGUGAGCGAUGAAGUAUUUCGGUAUGUAAAGCGCUAUCAGCAGGGAAGAAAAUGACGGUACCUGACUAAGAAGCCCCGGCUAACGACGUGCCAGCAGCCGAGGUAAUACGUAGGGGGCAAGCGUUAUCCGGAUGUACUGGGUGUAAAGGGUGCGUAGGCGGCUGGGCGAGCCAGUUGUGAAAGCCCGGGGCUCAACCCCGGGACUGCAUUGGGAACUGUGUGGCUGGAGUGUCGGAGAGGCAGGCGGAAUUCCUAGUGUAGCGGUGAAAUGCGUAGAUAUUAGGAGGAACACCAGUGGCGAAGGCGGCCUGCUGGACGAUGACUGACGUUGAGGCUCGAAAGCGUGGGGAGCAAACAGGAUUAGAUACCCUAGUAGUC
rnacentral:rRNA from 1 species